UACGGAGGGUGCAAGCGUUGUCCGGAAUCACUGGGCGUAAAGGGCGCGUAGGCGGCUCAUGAAGGCUGUGGUGAAAGUCCGGGGCUCAACCUCGGAUCGGCCGUGCGAACUGUCGAGCUGGAGCACUGUAGAGGCAGGUGGAAUUCCGGGUGUAGCGGUGGAAUGCGUAGAGAUCCGGAAGAACACCGGUGGCGAAGGCGGCAUCCUGGACCGGCAUUGACGCUGAGGAGCGAAAGCCAGGGGAGCAAACGGG
rnacentral:rRNA from 1 species